ensembl:lncRNA
AGAGAGAGAAGAGAGAGAGAGAGAGCGAGGGAGAGAGGGAAGAGAGAGAGAGAGAGAGAGAGAGAGAGAGAGAGAGAGAGAGAGAGAGUUAGAGGGAAGAGAGAGAGAGAGAGAGCUCUAGGCAAGAGAGCUAGAGGGAAGAGAGAGAGAGAGAGAGAGAGAGGGAAGAGAGCUAGAGGGAAGAGAGAGAGAGUGAGGUAAGAGAAAUAGAGAGAGAGAGAGAGGGAAGAGAGAGAGCGAGAGGGAAGAGAGAGAGAGAGUGAGGUAAGAGAGAGAGAGAGAGCGAGAGGGAAGAGAGAGAAGAGGGAAAAUAAAGAAGAGUUGUGCAGCAUCACCACUAUCAAACUGCCCCCCGAGAGCCUCCUUUCUGACUGCUGAUGCAAAGUGGCAGCACACGGUGAAGGCUCCGUAUAAAACUACACAUGUUGGUGAAUCUGGGAACAUUUAUCAGCCCUUUUCCUGACAUAACUAAUGAUGCAUUACUAAAUGUCACAGAUAACUAAUGAUGCAUUACUAAAUGUUACAGAUAACUAAUGAUGCAUUACUAAAUGUCACACAUAGAUAAUGUGAAUGUUUCUAAUAUUAAAUACUUUUACAUACAACCAAAUCAUAUUAUGUAAAUGUACAACUACUUCAUAUAUCUUUAUCUAUGACUGGUUUCAUGUGUUCAUCCAUGUCUGAAUCAGCUGUUUACUGUCCUUGUUGCAGUUUCUAUACAGACUGGUCUGAUUCCUCAAAGCAGAUCAAGUUCCUGGUGGAUCUCCUGUCUCAAGCAGCAGAGUGGGAGGAGCAGACAGGAGAGAAGACACUGAAGCUGGUAUCAUCAGUGUGGACUUACAGCACCUUUCCCUUCUGUGAUGAUGAUGAUGAUGAUGAUGGUGACGAUAAUAAGGAAUAUCAAUGUGAUUUCCUGCUGGAUCUGUACUCACAUGUGAAGGACUCUGAGACUCAAACAGGCAGGAGUUUCCUACCAGCAUUACAGCCAGUUUACCAGUCAGCUCCUGCAGUCUGGUCCAUAGACCUCUCAGAGAGAAAGGCCUCCCUCCUCCUAGAAGUGCUGAAACUCCAACCAGAGAAGAAACCAGUAGAGCUGAAGGACUGGUCAGAUGAAGAGAGUGAAGUGAGGAGUUUCCUUCAGUGUCUGUCCUACAUCUCACAGCUGAGCUGUGGUGAUGACAGGUUCUUCCAGACUGUGUGUGAAUCCAUCCCUGUGAGGUCCAGAGAGGAGGACCAGCAGUUGGCCUCUCUCCUCCAGGCCUUGGGCUCCACCCUGUCACUGGGAGGAGUGUUACCCAGGAAAACCUGCAGGUCUGUGGGGAGAGUCCUGGGUCUCUGUGCCUCCAGAGUGGACCUCACUCUCACCCCCAGCAAGAUCUCUCUCCAAGGAGCCGCACUUCUUUUGAGACAUAAGUCAAAGCUCCACAAGCUCAGGCUGAAUGUGGGCGUGGCAGUGAAACUGUCCAGACUGGUUAGGAGGACAGGGAGAGGUGCUACUCCACUGACUGUCCCAGAACUCUCCCUGGUCCUAAAGAGCAGCCAGCCACCAGAGAGAGUGUUAUCCAGGGCUCUGAGUAGUGUGGCGUCCCUGCUGAGAAUCUGGAGGGUUCAGUGUCUGGACCUGACUGACUUCUGCAUCCAGGGUCACUCUCUCAUCACACUGCUGUGUCACCAGGGACCUCUCUCUCUCAGACUAAACUCAGACACUCUGCAGCAGCUGACUGUAGUUGUGUAUGAAGCUCAGGACAAGGACUUGACUCAGUGGUUCCUGGAGAAGGUUGGUGGAGACCUGACCUCCUGCAGGCUGGACUGGGAAGUGCUUCUCUCUCUGCUGCAGCAUUCAACCCACAACAUCACUGUGGACCUCAGGAAGAACCGGCUCCUAGAGAAGAACAGCUCACAUCUUCUCCCCUUUCUGGGAAGGGUUACUCUCAAGAGGUCCAGUUCCAGCUUUGUAAAGUCCUCCAUCAGACAGAUCUAUGACAGUAGAGCCAGUGACUGUGUGUCCAGUUUGUUGAGGUCUUCAGACCAUUGGAUCAACCUGAACAGCAGAGAGCUGGACAGAGUGGACUGUACCGCUCUGUGUUUUACCCUGCAGCACAGCCACCAAGUCAAAGUCAACCUGCUGUGGACCUCCAUACCACCGGGGGAGAUAGAGAGCAUCCUGCCUCUUCUGGACAGAGUCUCCCAACUCAGUGUUGACAGGAGGUUACUGCUGAGUUUCCUCCAGUGCUGUGCUGCCUCUCAGAUCCAGCAGGGGGCACCAUCAUCACCACCAACAGCAGUAUGGCUGCUCAGGUCUCUGCACCACAGACUGGACUUCUCCUGCUCCUCCUCUGUGGACCUGUCAGCUCAGGACCAGGGGGAGGCUCUGUGUCUGACCACUGACCAUUGCAAGGCCAUCAACUCUGUUCUGAAGCAGAACCAACUCGGCACCCAGCUGGUUCAGAACCAGGUCCAGAUCAUCCUAAGAGACUGUGAGGUGGAGGACAGAGCACUGAGGGAGCUGCUUCCCAUCCUGCAUAUUGUCAAGCUGAGUCCCAGCAAAGCUCUGCUACUUCAGCUGCUGGACCUUGUAUGUGAGGGGAUUGAAGAGGGGCUGCUAAGGCAUGCAGAGUCCCUAUGCAGAGCCCUGGAUGGGGAGCUGGACCUCAGUGAGACCAGGCUGGACCAGAAGGCCUGUGGAUCUCUGGCCCUGGUUCUGGAACACUCAGAGGGUCUGUCAGAACUGGACCUCAGCCACUGUCAACUCACAGACCACCAGCUACAGCCCCUGAUCACACACCUGCAUAAAGUACAAGUCCUGGACCUGAGCCACAAUGACAUCACUGAUGCUCUGACUGACAGAAUUCUCCAACUGGUCUCUACCAACACUUCAAUACACACCGUACGACUCUUCAACAACAGAAUCCAGGACAGAAGACCCUUCCUGACAGACAAGAGGUUUGAGAUCUGGUGAAACAACAUCAGGUCUUUGUCCAGGAAGAGAAGGCUGAAUCCAGGACAGAAGAUCCUUCCUGACAGACAAGAGGUUUGACAUCUGGUGAAACAACAUCAGGUCUUAGUUCAGGAAGAGAAGGCUGAAUCCAGGACAGAAGAUCCUUCCUGACAGACAAGAGGUUUGACAUCUGGUGAAACAAA